rnacentral:lncRNA from 1 species
CCCUCUCUCUCACACUGGACUAGCACAGGUAGGGACAGAGCCACACCCUUCCUGUGUCAUUUUAAGGCUCUGCAAAGCUCGGUGACGGCUGUGCUCACUCCUGAAGGACAAGGUGGUCAUCGUCUCCCUGCACUCUUAAAGACCACACACAUGAAUUUUGCUUGUUGCUGCUCUCAGAGGCCACCAGAACAAGGUGUCAGGAACAAUAAAGACCCUUCCAUUAUUGGAAGGCCUGGAUUGCUCACCAAGACUUUUGGUAGAUGGCUUCUUGAAAUCAUUUGGAAGCACAGGGCAUGUAUAUGAUAUCUGCCCUAGUAACAUGUGGAAACAGAAGUUUCUUCCAACUUUGCCUUCCUGAGAAUAUUCUAACCCCUCUCAACUCAAAUCUAGCUGAUUUUGAUGAAGAUGAUCUUUAUUUUACCUCCCCACAAAAUAAAAAAAAAGUUCAUACUUUGGUUUUCCAACAUAUAAAAAAAUAAGCUUUAUUGUAUAGCUUUCAGACAGUUUAUCAUUUUUCAGUAACAUGGACUAGGGAAUAGGAAGAAUAUCAAGAAAUAAGCCUUUAACCUAACAAUGUGUGUGUUGUACACCACAAGAAACUGCAAGGCCAAAAAUUAGUUUGUCCGAAUGCCUCAGCUGCUGUAGUCUUUCAUCCUUUGAACUGACAAGCCUGACUUUAAAAGGGCACAAGAGUCUGCCUCUUAAAGGAGCGUGGCUCGAAAGCCAGGCAGCUUUAUAACCGUUUCUGUUUGCACCCCAACUCCCACCCCAGAAUUUGGGGUUGUAGUGGAGACAGGUCUACCUCAAGUCACAUCACUAUAGGCUCCUGGACAGCUCCUUCAAGGCUGGCUGAAAGGCAGAGAAUUCAGUUCUAGGUUUACAUCCAAGGGCCUUGAAGCCAGUAAGGAUGCAGUCUGCUCUUAGGUUGUUUGUGCUUUGUAAACAGAACUCCAGCUAAUGCAACUAUUUGUACUAGACUUGAAGGUCAGAGACUUGAAGGUCAGAUCUGUUGCUGCUCCCCUCCCCACCCCCCUAGUCCCCCCUUCUCUCUUGCUCUCUUUGAGACAGGGUUUCACUGUGCAGCCUUAGCUGUCCUGGAACUCCCUAUGUAGACCAGGCUAGCCUAAAACUCAGAGAUCUACCUGCCUCUGCCUCUGCCUCUGCCUCCCAAGUGCUGAGAUUAAUGGCAAAUGCCGCCUAAUCCAGCUCCUUUUCUCCUUCCUGAUCUUUAGAAUCUAAGGAACCACCUUUGAAACAAAGGCUUCUGUAAACUGGCUUCUUCAUCCUUUAAUGUGACAGUCUCAAGUCUGGGAACCAACAUGUAAUCUCUCAUUUUUCAUCUAAGCCCUCUUAGCCAAGCAGCUUUUGAGCAAUAGAAAAUAUUAAGUAACAGAAAGGUACUAAUAUGCUUGACACCCAUGGCUGAAAUGCUGUGUAUUAUGUCUGUCAAUAAAAAGCUGUCAGUGAACCAG